rnacentral:rRNA from 1 species
UACGUAGGUGGCAAGCGUUAUCCGGAUUUAUUGGGUGUAAAGGGCGUGUAGGCGGGAGCGCAAGUCAGAUGUGAAAACUCAGGGCUCAACCCUGAGCCUGCAUUUGAAACUGUGUUUCUUGAGUGCUGGAGAGGCAAUCGGAAUUCCGUGUGUAGCGGUGAGAUGCGUAGAUAUACGGAGGAACACCAGUGGCGAAGGCGGAUUGCUGGACAGUAACUGACGCUGAGGCGCGAAAGCGUGGGGAGCAAACAGG